rnacentral:rRNA from 1 species
CGCGUAGGCGGUUUUUUAAGUCAGAUGUGUAAUCCCCGAGCUCAACUUGGGAACUGCAUCUGAGACUGGAAGGCUAGAGUACUGGAGAGGGUGGUGGAAUUCCUCGUGUAGCGGUGAAAUGCGUAGAGAUGAGGAGGAACACCAGUGGCGAAGGCGGCCACCUGGACAGUAACUGACGCUGAGGCGCGAAAGUGUGGGUAGCAAACAGGAUUAGAUACCCUGGUAGUCCACGCUGUAAACGGUGAACACUUGGUGUGGAGGGAGUUGACCCCUUCCGUGCCGGAGCUAACGCGUUAAGUGUUCCGCCUGGGGAGUACGGUCGCAAGGCUGAA